rnacentral:misc_RNA from 1 species
UCUCACUUAUGCCAUUUGGUUAAUUAUUCAGGCAAGGGUAAACGAGAAGUAUGCAGCACCAUAUACAAGCACAACGUUGAUGUGCCUAAUGGCAAGUGUGGAGUGUGUUAUCAUCGGCUUUUGUGUCGUUCCAAAACUUUCUGAAUGGAAAUUAAAUCCUAUUAGAGCUGUUUCAGUUGUCUAUAAUGGAGCUAUGGCUACGUCAUUUACAUAUUUCCUGAGCUCGUGGUG